GGGCGUAAGAGCUCGUAGGCGGUUUGUCGCGUCUGCUGUGAAAUCUGGGGGCUCAACCGCCAGCCUGCAGUGGGUACGGGCAGACUAGAGUGCGGUAGGGGAGAUUGGAAUUCCUGGUGUAGCGGUGGAAUGCGCAGAUAUCAGGAGGAACACCGAUGGCGAAGGCAGAUCUCUGGGCCGUAACUGACGCUGAGGAGCGAAAGCAUGGGGAGCGAACAGGAUUAGAUACCCUGGUAGUCCAUGCCGUAAACGUUGGGAACUAGAUGUGGGGGCCAUUCCACGGUCUCCGUGUCGCAGCUAACGCAUUAAGUUCCCCGCCUGGGGAGUACGGCCGCAAGGCUAAAACUCAAAGGAAUUGACGGGGGCCCGCACAAGCGGCGGAGCAUGCGGAUUAAUUCGAUGCAACGCGAAGAACCUUACCAAGGCUUGACAUAUACCGGAAACGUCCAGAGAUGGUCGCCCCGCAAGGUCGGUAUACAGGUGGUGCAUGGUUGUCGUCAGCUCGUGUCGUGAGAUGUUGGGUUAAGUCCCGCAACGAGCGCAACCCUCGUUCUAUGUUGCCAGCACGUAAUGGUGGGAACUCAUAGGAGACUGCCGGGGUCAACUCGGAGGAAGGUGGGGAUGACGUCAAAUCAUCAUGCCCCUUAUGUCUUGGGCUUCACGCAUGCUACAAUGGCCGGUACAAAGGGCUGCGAUACCGUAAGGUGGAGCGAAUCCCAAAAAGCCGGUCUCAGUUCGGAUUGAGGUCUGCAACUCGACCUCAU
rnacentral:rRNA from 1 species